rnacentral:rRNA from 1 species
UACGGAGGAUCCAAGCGUUAUCCGGAUUCAUUGGGUUUAAAGGGUGCGUAGGCGGACUGAUAAGUUAGCGGUGAAAUCUCUCGGCUCAACCGAGAAACUGCCGUUGAUACUGUUAGUCUUGAAUGCAGAUGAUGUGGGCGGAAUAUGACAUGUAGUGGUGAAAUACUUAGAUAUGUCAUAGAACACCGAUUGCGAAGGCAGCUCACAAAACUGUGAUUGACGCUGAUGCACGAAAGCGUGGGGAUCAAACAGG